ensembl:snRNA U6 U6 spliceosomal RNA
GUGCUCACUUCGGCAGCACAUAUACUAAAAUUGGAACGAUACAGAGAAGAUUAGCAUGGCUAGAUGACACACAAAUUUGUGAAGCGUUCCUUGUUUUU